UACGUAGGGUGCAAGCGUUGUCCGGAAUUAUUGGGCGUAAAGAGCUCGUAGGCGGUCUGUCGCGUCUGCUGUGAAAACUCGGGGCUUAACCCCGGGCCUGCAGUGGGUACGGGCAGACUAGAGUGCGGUAGGGGAGACUGGAAUUCCUGGUGUAGCGGUGAAAUGCGCAGAUAUCAGGAGGAACACCGGUGGCGAAGGCGGGUCUCUGGGCCGUAACUGACGCUGGAGGCGCGAAAGCUAGGGGAGCAAACAGG
rnacentral:rRNA from 1 species